AUUGAACGCUGGCGGCACGCUUAACACAUGCAAGUCGAGCGGUAACAUGGGUAGUAGCAAUACUAUCUGAUGACGAGCGGCGGACGGGUGAGUAAUGUCUGGGAAACUGCCUGAUGGAGGGGGAUAACUACUGGAAACGGUAGCUAAUACCGCAUAAUGUCGCAAGACCAAAGAGGGGGACCUUCGGGCCUCUUGCCAUCAGAUGUGCCCAGAUGGGAUUAGCUAGUAGGUGGGGUAACGGCUCACCUAGGCGACGAUCCCUAGCUGGUCUGAGAGGAUGACCAGCCACACUGGAACUGAGACACGGUCCAGACUCCUACGGGAGGCAGCAGUGGGGAAUAUUGCACAAUGGGCGCAAGCCUAAUGCAGCCAUGCCGCGUGUAUGAAGAAGGCCUUCGGGUUGUAAAGUACUUUCAGCGGGGAGGAAGGUGCUGAGGUUAAUAACCUCAGCAAUUGACGUUACCCGCAGAAGAAGCACCGGCUAACUCCGUGCCAGCAGCCGCCGUAA
rnacentral:rRNA from 1 species